GGCCUUUGACUUUGCUCAUGUCAGGACGAUGUUCUCCUCCUGUUCCUGACAUGGCUGUGGGGGCACAUUAGGACGUUGUAAGGCCUCUCCCCCCAUCCGGUCUUAGAGAACCGGGCCUUUGACUUUGCUCAUGUCAGGACGAGGUUCUCCUCCUGUUCCUGACAUGGCUGUGGAGGCACAUUAGGGCGUUGUAAGGCCUCUCCCCCCAUCCGGUCUAAGAGAACCGGGCCUUUGACUUUGCUCAUGUCAGGAUGAGGUUCUCCUCCUGUUCCUGACAUGACUUUGCUUUUGGAGGGAUCAUAUCCAGUCAUAAUAAAUCCAUGCCAGGUGGGAAGGGCACGUUAGGUAGAAAGGAAAGUAGAUUCAAGGUGAAAUCGUAAGUGAUACAUUUACAGUCUUCCCACUCCUCCUUGAGGCCCUCCGGUGAUGGAGUCGAUGGUCCCGAUGGGAGGCCGGUCCCCGGGUUGCUCCUCCCUUCUCUGCGGUUCAGGCUGUGGGAGGGCUCUUGGC
rnacentral:lncRNA from 1 species